rnacentral:lncRNA from 1 species
ACAGGUAUCCACUCGGAUCUGAUCUAAAAUGCUUUCUCUAGAACUAAUCUACCUUCUCCAAGGCAGACCUGAGGGCUCUUGAUUAGCAAUCGUUCUGAUCUCCGAAGCUAUUGGAACAACUUUUGUCGCAACCCUUUCUUCCUUCAGUGGGAUGAUGCCUGAACACCUUCCAGCACUUCGAGGAUCAUCCCAACAUCUUUGGGCGUGGGA